rnacentral:rRNA from 1 species
UACGUAGGGAGCAAGCGUUAUCCGGAUUUACUGGGUGUAAAGGGCGUGUAGGCGGGCCUGUAAGUUGGGAGUGAAAUCCGGGGGCUUAACCCCCGAACUGCUUUCAAAACUGCGGGUCUUGAGUGAUGGAGAGGCAGGCGGAAUUCCCAGUGUAGCGGUGAAAUGCGUAGAUAUUGGGAGGAACACCAGUGGCGAAGGCGGCCUGCUGGACAUUAACUGACGCUGAGGCGCGUAAGCGUGGGGAGCAAACAGG